rnacentral:rRNA from 1 species
UUCCGUAGGUGAACCUGCGGAAGGAUCAUUACCUAGAGUUGUAGGCUUUGCCUGCUAUCUCUUACCCAUGUCUUUUGAGUACCUUCGUUUCCUCGGCGGGUCCGCCCGCCGAUUGGACAAUUUAAACCAUUUGCAGUUGCAAUCAGCGUCUGAAAAAACUUAAUAGUUACAACUUUCAACAACGGAUCUCUUGGUUCUGGCAUCGAUGGAGAACGCAGCGAAAUGCGAUAAGUAGUGUGAAUUGCAGAAUUCAGUGAAUCAUCGAAUCUUUGAACGCACAUUGCGCCCCUUGGUAUUCCAUGGGGCAUGCCUGUUCGAGCGUCAUUUGUACCUUCAAGCUCUGCUUGGUGUUGGGUGUUUGUCUCGCCUCUGCGCGCAGACUCGCCUCAAAACAAUUGGCAGCCGGCGUAUUGAUUUCGGAGCGCAGUACAUCUCGCGCUUUGCACUCAUAACGACGACGUCCAAAAGUACAUUUUUACACUCUUGACCUCGGAUCAGGUAGGGAUACCCGCUGAACUUAAGCAUAUCA